rnacentral:pre_miRNA from 1 species
GAAAUACUCCCUCCGUCCGGAAAUACUUGUCCUAGAAAUGGAUGUAUCUACACUUAUUUUAGUUAUAGAUACAUCCAUUUUAUUCAUUUCUAGGACAAGUAUUUCCGGACGGAGGGAGUAGGUA